ACACAUUUGAGUUUCAGUUGUCAUCAAGUAUAGUCCUACUGUGAGAAAGACUAUUUUAACCAAGACGUUCAGGAAAGAUGGCCAACCUGUCUGUGUACGCUACUCUGAUGGUGGCGAUUCUGAUGCUUGGGGAAAGCAGUUCACAUAAAUGCUGCACAAAAUAUGAUCAAAUUAGACCCCCCAUAAAAGCACUGAAAUCUUAUGUAGUUCAAGAAAUAACAGAGUUGUGUGGCAUCAGAGCUGUAAUAUUCCAAACAGUGGUGCCUAAAAAAGGACCAGUGAUACAAACUAAACCACUGUGUGCAGACCCUGACCGGCC